CCUGCUCCGCACAGUACUGGGAACUCCUUUCCACCAAGCAGAAGUUAUCUGACAUCUCCAUUGCGGCUGUCUGGGUCAGAACUCCUCUUUGAAGGGGUUUCAAAGUAAAACAAGAUAAGAAGCACCUUUUCAAAAGGAAUCUUUCUGGAGGAGGCUGUGAUGUGAAAGAGUGGAGUGCAAGUUGGCCGCUGUGCUCGUGGGACAAAGACAUCUGCAGCAUCGGAGUCUGGUGGGCGCCUCCUCCUGGGUCCGUCCACCCCCAGGAUCACCCGCGGCCUGGUCACCCGCCCACGAUGUGAAAAGACUGUAGCCCACCAGGCUCCACUGUCCACAGGAUUCUCCAGGCAAUAACACUGGAGUGGGUUGCCAUGCCCUCCUCCAGGAGAUCCUUCUGACUGUCAAGACUGAGUCUUCUGCGUUGGAAGGUGGAUUCUUUACCACUGAGCCACCUGGGAAGCCCUUCAAUAAGCCAAUAUUUACUUUUUUAAAGGUAUAUUCUUCUAUUAUUAUAGUUUAAAGAUUUUCUUUGGGGAAAUCAAUGCCAAUGUGUCUUUCCUGAGGAUGCAACACAUGGAAAGAUGUAAAACAAUUGUUUUGCUGGAGGGGGAAAAUAACUCCCAACGUGGCCGAGAUACGCUUUGGUCUCAUUAGCAUAAACGGCAAUCAUGGCCUG
ensembl:lncRNA